rnacentral:rRNA from 1 species
GAUGAACGCUGGCGGCGUGCCUAAUACAUGCAAGUCGAGCGAACAGAUAAGGAGCUUGCUCCUUUGACGUUAGCGGCGGACGGGUGAGUAACACGUGGGUAACCUACCUAUAAGACUGGGAUAACUUCGGGAAACCGGAGCUAAUACCGGAUAACAUUUGGAACCGCAUGGUUCUAAAGUGAAAGAUGGUUUUGCUAUCACUUAUAGAUGGACCCGCGCCGUAUUAGCUAGUUGGUAAGGUAACGGCUUACCAAGGCGACGAUACGUAGCCGACCUGAGAGGGUGAUCGGCCACACUGGAUCUGAGACACGGUCCAGACUCCUACGGGAGGCAGCAGUAGGGAAUCUUCCGCAAUGGGCGAAAGCCUGACGGAGCAACGCCGCGUGAGUGAUGAAGGGUUUCGGCUCGUAAAACUCUGUUAUUAGGGAAGAACAAAUGUGUAAGUAACUGUGCACGUCCUGACGGUACCUAAUCAGAAAGCCACGGCUAACUACGUG